rnacentral:miRNA from 1 species
UAAUGAUUAGUAUGUGGCUU